CUAAGCACUGAUAACAGAGAUAUCAUAAUUGGAAGGAUGCCUGUAAUGGUGAAGUCUGACCUUUGCUGGAUGAAAACAGUUGAAAAAGGUGAUUGUGAUUUUGAUCAUGGAGGUUAUUUUUUGAUCAAGGGUGCAGAGAAGGUUUUUAUUGCACAAGAACAAAUUUGUUUAAAGAGACUUUGGAUCUCAAAUGCUCAGGGCUGGACAGUUGCAUAUAAGUCUGAAAUUAAAAGGAAUAGAUUAAUUGUUAGAUUAGUGGGGCUCUCUAAAGAUGACAGCAUUAAAGGAGAAAAGAAAG
rnacentral:misc_RNA from 1 species